GGAUUCCAUCGUUUUUACUUCAGCCUGGCUCAUGGCAGUUUAAGUGUCAACAUUUCCACAACCCCAGUGCCAAAACCCCUAUCCAUUCUCAUUAAGCAAAUGAAUAUUUUCAUCUUCAUAUCUUAAAAACAUGUACCCUUUACAUUUCAAUCCAAUGCCAUUAAAAUACAUAACCAAUUAAUUAUCAACAAAAAAAAAGGAAAAGAAAAUAUCUCUAAAAAGGAGGGAAAACACCAAAGCUUGGUCAAUAUUUUCUUGAAUUUCUCAUUACCAGAAGAAUUGACCUAAACCUUAAUAUAUAAUGUUGUCUAUUUAUCACAUAAAUCAGAAAAAACAUGCCAAAUGCUGAGUUGAAGAUUCUAGAAAUCAAUUCACAGCAAAAUGUUACCAAAGCCAGCAAACUAACAAAGUAGAGUAUAGAUGAUUCUGCUCAUGGUUGCUGAACUUAAUCACUGAACUGCAAUAUUAUCACUGAGUUUCAAUUUGUGUCAACAAAACACUUCAAUUUGUGUCAACAAAACACUAGACUUUAUUUAUUUCAAUAAGGUCACUGUUUCUAAAUUUUUUUAGAGAUUUAACCAAAUUUUUUAUGUGAUGACUAAGUAUGACAACCCUAUUAGAAAAUAAUUAUUUGGUUAUAAUAUAAAAAAAUGUCCGAAAUUCUAUUGAAACAAAAAUUAAGGUAGAAUAUUUUGAUAAUACAAAGUAAAUUUUAUUGAUCUUAUUGAAAUAAAUGUAGUCUGUCUUUAGAUUAAAGAAACCCUUAAUGUCAAUCCAAGAAAGCUGCACCUCACAAUUCCCUAUGUCAAUUUAGAACAAUUACUAGAAAUUCCCCGGUUAGAUCUAAUUUGCCCCCAUAACAAUUCAUUACAGACAAAUUUCAUUAAAAUGCAUUUUGGAGGAGAAAAACCCAAAAAAAAAAAAAAUCAAAGAAUUAAAUCCAAAAUGUGCAACACAAAGACCUAAUCCAUCAGAACAGUCCCAGUAAAGCUCCUUCAAAAAAAUUACAAAAAUCUUACAAAAAGAUCUUCAAUUGUAAUUUUUACUCAUUGAAUCUCAUCAGGAAAAAAAAUAAUAAGCUAAAAAUGGCAGUGAAGAAA
rnacentral:misc_RNA from 1 species